rnacentral:rRNA from 1 species
GACGAACGCUGGCGGCGUGCUUAACACAUGCAAGUCGAACGGAAAGGCCCUGCUUUUGUGGGGUGCUCGAGUGGCGAACGGGUGAGUAACACGUGAGUAACCUGCCCUUGACUUUGGGAUAACUUCAGGAAACUGGGGCUAAUACCGGAUAGGAGCUCCUGCGGCAGGGUGGGGGUUGGAAAGUUUCGGCGGUUGGGGAUGGACUCGGGGCUUAUCAGCUUGUUGGUGGGGUAGUGGCUUACCAAGGCUUUGACGGGUAGCCGGCCUGAGAGGGUGACCGGCCACAUUGGGACUGAGAUACGGCCCAGACUCCUACGGGAGGCAGCAGUGGGGAAUAUUGCACAAUGGGCGGAAGCCUGAUGCAGCAACGCCGCGUGCGGGAUGACGGCCUUCGGGUUGUAAACCGCUUUCGCCUGUGACGAAGCGUGAGUGACGGUAAUGGGUAAAGAAGCACCGGCUAACUACGUG